AGAGAGGUGUCCGAGUGGCUGAAGGAGCACGCCUGGAAAGUGUGUAUACCCCUCAAGGGUAUCGAGGGUUCGAAUCCCUCUCUCUCUGCGA
rnacentral:tRNA from 1 species